UCCAAUGGUUGCAAUAAACCAGGGAAAGCACAAUGCUCAGAUUUGCACCUAGCACAAGUAUCACAAGUUUUGAUAUACUGCAUAACAUCAAUCAACAUACGAGGCCAAAAAAAAAUGUUUUUUCAACCUCAUGUGAGUAGCAUGCACCCCUGAAUGUCCCCCAACUGCAGUGCUGUGAUAAAGUGCCAAUAAAUUCUGCCUCAAAACUGUAGCAGCCCCCACAUACAUUCUAUCCUUAUAAUGGAUCAGUCCAUUUUUCAACCUAUAACCAGGAUAUGCAUUAGGAUCCAAUGAAAGAGUUCUUUGCAACUCUAAUGCUUUCUCAUCACCCUCAUAACUAUGAACCAAAUUGGACAUCCAAGUUGGUGUAACAGAAGAAUUGGACAGCUGCAAUACAUUGACUUGCUGAACUGUCCUAUCAGGCCUUCUAGAUAAGGCAUCAGCCACUUUAUUUUCAACUCCUUUUCUAUAGAGAAUUUUAAAAUCAAGGCCCAAUAAUUUUGAAAUUCCCCUCAGCUGUAAUCCAGUAUGUAACCUUUGCUCUAAAAG
rnacentral:misc_RNA from 1 species